UGGGCCACCAUUUGUCGUG
rnacentral:misc_RNA from 1 species